rnacentral:rRNA from 1 species
UGAGGAAUAUUGGUCAAUGGGCGAGAGCCUGAACCAGCCACGUCGCGUGAAGGAAGACUGACCUUACGGUUUGUAAACUUCUUUUGUAGAGGGGUAAUGGCAGAUACGUGUAUUUGCGUGAAAGUACUCUACGAAUAAGCAUCGGCUAACUCCGUGCCAGCAGCCGCGGUAAUACGGGGGAUGCGAGCGUUAUCCGGAAUUAUUGGGUUUAAAGGGUGCGCAGGUGGCUAAUCAGGUCAGUGGUGAAAAGCUAUGGCUCAACCAUGGUCUUGCCAUUGAAACCGUAUAGCUAGAGAGGAGACGAGGUAGGCGGAAUGUGUGGUGUAGCGGUGAAAUGCAUAGAUAUCACACAGAACUCCGAUUGCGAAGGCAGCUUACGGGAGCGCAACUGACGCUAAAGCUCGAAGGUGCGGGUAUCGAACAGG